GACGAACGCUGGCGGCGUGCUUAACACAUGCAAGUCGAACGCUGAAGCUCAGCUUUUGUUGGGUGGAUGAGUGGCGAACGGGUGAGUAACACGUGAGUAACCUGCCCCCUUCUUUGGGAUAACGCCCGGAAACGGGUGCUAAUACUGGAUAUUCACUGGUCUUCGCAUGGGGGUUGGUGGAAAGGGUUUUUCUGGUGGGGGAUGGGCUCGCGGCCUAUCAGCUUGUUGGUGGGGUGAUGGCCUACCAAGGCUUUGACGGGUAGCCGGCCUGAGAGGGGGACCGGUCACAUUGGGACUGAGAUACGGCCCAGACUCCUACGGGGGGCGGCAGUGGGGAAAAUUGCACAAUGGGCGCAAGCCUGAUGCAGCGACGCCGCGUGAGGGAUGGAGGCCUUCGGGUUGUGAACCUCUUUCGCUCAUGGUCAAGCCGCAACAAUGGUUGUGGUGAGGGUAGUGGGUAAAGAAGCGCCGGCUAACUACGUG
rnacentral:rRNA from 1 species